GACGAACGCUGGCGGCGUGCUUAACACAUGCAAGUCGAACGGAAAGGCCCUGCGUUUGUGUGGUGCUCGAGUGGCGAACGGGUGAGUAACACGUGAGUAACCUGCCCUUGACUUUGGGAUAACUUCAGGAAACUGGGGCUAAUACCGGAUAGGAGCUCCUGCUGCAUGGUGGGGGUUGGAAAGUUUCGGCGGUUGGGGAUGGACUCGCGGCUUAUCAGCUUGUUGGUGGGGUAGUGGCUUACCAAGGCUUUGACGGGUAGCCGGCCUGAGAGGGUGACCGGCCACAUUGGGACUGAGAUACGGCCCAGACUCCUACGGGAGGCAGCAGUGGGGAAUAUUGCACAAUGGGCGGAAGCCUGAUGCAGCAACGCCGCGUGCGGGAUGACGGCCUUCGGGUUGUAAACCGCUUUCGCCUGUGACGAAGCGUGAGUGACGGUAAUGGGUAAAGAAGCACCGGCUAACUACGUG
rnacentral:rRNA from 1 species